UGUGAAUCCCUUGGACUGGAAGGUGAUCAAACAGCACUCCUAAACCAUCAGAGUCCAAAGGGUAUCAACUGGCCCUCAUCCAAGCCAACCUACAGAGGAAUGUGAGGCUAAGAGCAGGAGGCCACAGUGUGAUGGACCAUUGCUGGCUUAAAAGCAGGGAGAUGUGUCUGGGAGGAGGAAAAGGAGAGGAAGAUCAGAAAACGGCAGCCUUUCUCUAACCACAGGAGGGGAAACAAGCAACAAUGGAAAUUAUAUGAAAGAACAAAUAACAGUGUAUUUUGAACAGAUACCCUUGGUGCAACAUAAUUCAAUUUUCCAAAUGAGAAUCCUAGGAAUCUUCAAUAAGAUUGGAUGUGAAGACAGCCUUCCUCAGUCUGGAACCCAUCCAGAUACAUUGGGCCACAAUUUGCAUUCUCAGCCUAUUGAACAAGUCUAUCAACCAUGCUCUGGUCUUCAUCCAGAAGCUGGUGAAGAUUGCUCUCCUCCUUCAGUUGUCUAA